rnacentral:rRNA from 1 species
GACGAACGCUGGCGGCGUGCUUAACACAUGCAAGUCGAACGGAAAGGCCCUGCUUGCAGGGUGCUCGAGUGGCGAACGGGUGAGUAACACGUGGGUGAUCUGCCCCUUACUUUGGGAUAAGCCUGGGAAACUGGGUCUAGUACUGGAUAGGACCAUGCUGUAGGUGGUGUGGUGGAAAGAUUAGUUUCGGUAAGGGAUGAGCUCGCGGCCUAUCAGCUUGUUGGUGGGGUAAUGGCCUACCAAGGCGUCGACGAGUAGCCGGCCUGAGAGGGUGGACGGCCACAUUGGGACUGAGAUACGGCCCAGACUCCUACGGGAGGCAGCAGUGGGGAAUAUUGCACAAUGGGCGCAAGCCUGAUGCAGCGACGCCGCGUGGGGGAUGACGGCCUUCGGGUUGUAAACUCCUUUCAGCCAUGACGAAGCCCUUGUGGUGACGGUAGUGGUAGAAGAAGCACCGGCUAACUACGUG